GGCUCAGAACGAACGCUGGCGGCAGGCCUAACACAUGCAAGUCGAACGCCGUAGCAAUACGGAGUGGCAGACGGGUGAGUAACGCGUGGGAACCUACCUUACGGUCGGGAAUAGCCCCAGGGAAAACUUGGGGGUAAUACCGGAAUAAGCCCCUUACGGGGAAAAGAUUUAUCGCCGUUAGAUGGGCCCGCGUAGGAUUAGCUAGUUGGUGAGGUAAUGGCUCACCAAGGCGACGAUCCUUAGCUGGUCUGAGAGGAUGAUCAGCCACACUGGGACUGAGACACGGCCCAGACUCCUACGGGAGGCAGCAGUGGGGAAUAUUGGACAAUGGGCGCAAGCCUGAUCCAGCCAUGCCGCGUGAGUGAUGAAGGCCUUAGGGUUGUAAAGCUCUUUCAGUGGGGACGAUAAUGACGGUACCCACAGAAGAAGCCCCGGCUAACUUCGUGCCAGCAGCCGCGGUAAUACGAAGGGGGCUAGCGUUGUUCGGAUUUACUGGGCGUAAAGCGCACGUAGGCGGAUCGUUAAGUCGGGGGUGAAAUCCUGGAGCUCAACUCCAGAACUGCCUUCGAUACUGGCGAUCUUGAGUCCGGAAGAGGUGAGUGGAACUCCUAGUGUAGAGGUGGAAUUCGUAGAUAUUAGGAAGAACACCAGUGGCGAAGGCGGCUCACUGGUCCGGGUACUGAACGCUGAGGUGCGAAAGCGUGGGGGAGCAAACAGGGAUUAGAUACCCUGGUAGUCCACGCCGUAAACUAUGAGAGCUAGCCGUUGGGAGAUUUAUCUCUCAGUGGCGCAGCUAACGCAUUAAGCUCUCCGCCUGGGGAGUACGGUCGCAAGAUUAAAACUCAAAUGAAUUGAC
rnacentral:rRNA from 1 species